rnacentral:lncRNA from 1 species
AUCACAUCCAGCAGUUUCAAUUUGAACUGGAUCCUCAAUAUUCUUUUGCACAGCCAUAGGAGACAAUGAGGGAAGGAUAUCAGCUAAUUGGCUCUCGGUAACUACGGUUUCAGAUUUCUUUGUUUCCUCUAAGUGAACGUGCGUACCUUCCACUGGCUCUGCGGACGGCGGUAAUUGAACUUGAGGUUCUGACGAACAUCCGGUAGAAAUACCUACUAACCCACAUGCAGCAGUUUCAACUAGACCUUGAUCCUCAAUGUUCUUUUGCACAGCUGUCAGACACGAUGAGGGCUCGAUAUCAGCUAAUUGGCUCUCAGAAUUAUCUUCCACUGUCAUUGGGGGAAAUGAAGGGAAUAUUGUACCUUCGGCAACCAUGAUUUCAGAUUUCUCUGUUUCCUCUAAGUGAACGUGCAUAUCUCCCUCUGUCUCUGUGGAUGGUGGUAAUUGAACUUGUGGUUCUGACGAACAUCCAGUAGAGACAUUAACUAACUCACAUCCAGCAGUUUUAACUUGAUCUUGAUCUUGAUCCUCAAUGUUCUUUUCCACAACCGUAGGAGAUGAUGAGGGCUCAUUUUCUACCUCCGUCAAUGGGAGUGAAGCGAUUUCUGUACCUUCAGCAACCACUGGCUCUGCGGAUGGUGUCAGUUGAGCUUGAGGUUCUGACGAACAUCCGGUCGAGACAUCAACUAGCCCACAUCCACCGGUUGUAACUUGAUCUUGAGCCUCAAUGUUCUUUUCCAGAGCUGUAGGUGACG